UACGUAGGGAGCAAGCGUUGUCCGGAUUUAUUGGGCGUAAAGAGCUCGUAGGCGGCUUAGCAAGUCAGGUGUGAAAACUCUGGGCUCAACCCAGAGACGCCACUUGAUACUUCUAUGGCUUGAGUUCGGUAGGGGACCAUGGAAUUCCUGGUGUAGCGGUGAAAUGCGCAGAUAUCAGGAGGAACACCGAUGGCGAAGGCAGUGGUCUGGGCCGAUACUGACGCUGAGGAGCGAAAGCGUGGGGAGCGAACAGG
rnacentral:rRNA from 1 species